rnacentral:rRNA from 1 species
UACGUAGGGUGCAAGCGUUGUCCGGAAUUAUUGGGCGUAAAGAGCUCGUAGGCGGUCUGUCGCGUCGGCUGUGAAAACCCGAGGCUCAACCUCGGGCCUGCAGUCGAUACGGGCAAACUAGAGUACUGCAGGGGAGACUGGAAUUCCUGGUGUAGCGGUGAAAUGCGCAGAUAUCAGGAGGAACACCGAUGGCGAAGGCAGCUCGCUGGGACGGUACUGACGCUGAGGCGACGAAAGCGUGGGGAGCAAACAGG